GAAGGSUGCAAGCGUUACUCGGAAUUACUGGGCGUAAAGCGUGCGUAGGUGGUUCGUUAAGUCUGCCGUGAAAGCCCCGGGCUCAACCUGGGAAUGGCGAUGGAUACUGGCGGGCUAGAGUGCGGUAGAGGAGAGUGGAAUUCCCGGUGUAGCAGUGAAAUGCGUAGAGAUCGGGAGGAACAUCAGUUGCGAAGGCGGCUCUCUGGACCAGCACUGACACUGAGGCACGAAAGCGUGGGGAGCAAACAGGAUUAGAUACCCUGGUAGUCCACGCCCUAAACGAUGCGAACUGGACGUUGGGAGCAACUAGGCUCUCAGUGUCGAAGCUAACGCGUUAAGUUCGCCGCCUGGGGAGUACGGUCGCAAGACUG
rnacentral:rRNA from 1 species